rnacentral:rRNA from 1 species
AUACGUAGGUGGCGAGCGUUGUCCGGAAUUACUGGGCGUAAAGGGCGUGUAGGCGGGGAUUUAAGUCAGAUGUGAAAGACCCGGGCUUAACUUGGGCAUUGCAUUUGAAACUGGAUUUCUUGAGGACAGGAGAGGAAAGCGGAAUUCCUAGUGUAGCGGUGAAAUGCGUAGAUAUUAGGAGGAACACCAGUGGCGAAGGCGGCCUGCUGGACGACAACUGACGCUGAGGCGCGAAAGUGUGGGGAGCAAACAGGAUUAGAUACCCUGGUAGUCCACACUGUAAACGAUGAAUGCUAGGUGUAAGAGGUAUCGACCCCUUUUGUGCCGGAGUCAACACAAUAAGCAUUCCGCCUGGGGAGUACGGCCGCAAGGUUGAAACUCAAAUGAAUUGGCGGGG